rnacentral:rRNA from 1 species
GACGAACGCUGGCGGCGUGCUUAACACAUGCAAGUCGAGCGGUAAGGCCCUUUCGGGGGUACACGAGCGGCGAACGGGUGAGUAACACGUGGGUGACCUGCCCUCAGCUCUGGGAUAAGCCUGGGAAACCGGGUCUAAUACUGGAUAUGACUCCAUGACGCAUGUUGUGGGGUGGAAAGCCUUGUGCGGCUGAGGAUGGGCCCGCGGCCUAUCAGCUUGUUGGUGGGGUGANGGCCUACCAAGGCGACGACGGGUAGCCGGCCUGAGAGGCGACCGGCCACACUGGGACUGAGACACGGCCCAGACUCCUACGGGAGGCAGCAGUGGGGAAUCUUGCGCAAUGGGC